UGAGGCGAACCGGGGGAACUGAAACAUCUAAGUACCCCGAGGAAAAGAAAUCAACCGAGAUUCCCCCAGUAGCGGCGAGCGAACGGGGAGCAGCCCAGAGCCUGAAUCAGUGUGUGUGUUAGUGGAAGCGUCUGGAAAGGCGCGCGAUACAGGGUGACAGCCCCGUACACAAAAAUGCACAUGCUGUGAGCUCGAUGAGUAGGGCGGGACACGUGGUAUCCUG
rnacentral:rRNA from 1 species